UCCCUGGUGGUCUAGUGGUUAAAGAUUUGGUGUUGUCACUGCUGUGACUCCGGUUCAAUCCCUGGCCUGGGAA
rfam:Sus scrofa isolate TJ Tabasco breed Duroc chromosome 4, whole genome shotgun sequence.